GGGGGCGUCGUUUAAUGGGAGGACUCUUGGCUUGCACCCAGGUAAUGAGGGUUCGAUUCCCUCCGCUUCCACCA
rnacentral:tRNA from 1 species